rnacentral:snRNA from 1 species
AGCUUUGCACAGUGGCAGUAUCGUAGCCAGUGAGGUUUAUCCGAGGUGCGAUUAUUGCUAAUUGAAGACCAAUAUUCUGAGAGCCAAACAGGUAGUUGUCCAGGUGAAAGCAAGGAUACAGACAGAAAGGAAGGAGGCUACAUGUCUGCUUGCUGGAGCCCUCAUGAAUGG